GGUUUACGAAGAUCUCCAGACAAAUGGCACACUGGAACUGCUCCUCAGACAGGAAGCUAUGAGCAAGUGGCAACCUGGGAUUGCCAGAGGUCCUUGGUCACACAGCAGGUUGUCUCCGUCAUGUGCCCCGGUCAGGGUGAACCUCCGUCGGGACAGGGCUGCGGUGUAGGGGGGUGGCUGGGACACCAAGGAGGACGCCCGGGGCCGCUCCUCCGACAACAGCUGUCAAGGAUGAAAGGAGAGUACUGAUGCACCAACAGCUCUGAUGGACUGAGAUAGUCGACAGAGACCUUUGCCCUACUUCCAGGGCCGGCCCAGGUUUAGGUAGCCUGGAACCGAAUGGUUCAGACCAGCCUUGGCCACCCAAGACCGCCCUACACCAUCCUAGACCACCCAAGACCACAAUAGACUAACCUUGCCAUCCUAGACAACCAUAGACCAGCCUGGACCACCCUAGACCACCCUACAUCCUCAUAGACCAGCCUGGGCCACCCUAGUCCCCUCUACACCCUCAUAGACCAGCCUGGACCACCCUAGUCCCCUCUACACCCACCACCCUAGACCAUCCUAGACCACCCUGGACCAGCCUGGGCCUGUUUUUUAACAGCCUCAUGACCUGUGGAAAUCUCAGAACAACAGCGGCACUCACAGCCUCCCUCUCUCCAGCAGGUUUUGAGGAGGAGGUUCCCUCUCUCUGAAGAGGUUCCCCCUGAGCAGUAGUUCUGUGAGCAGGAGUGGAGCCUCAGUCUGGGGCAGGAUGACGUAGAGACCACACAGAUUAAAGAGGAACUCAGGACCAGUCAGGAGGAAGAAUUGGGGGCUAAUAUCAUUAAUAUCACCUAAUAAAAGUAAUUGUCAUCAUGAGGAUCCAUUUCAUUCCAUGACUUUUUCCCCCAAACCCAAAGGGGGAGAAAAGAGAAAUUACUCCAAUCUUUCACCACUGUGAUCCACCUAAAGGGUCUUGACAUUCUCUGUGAACCUCCAGAUAAUCAAAACAAUGUUUCCAGCCACAUCAGAAACCCAGUAGGACUGAACAGCAGUCUACCAUUGGACCAAAACCCACCAAUAGGGCAACACUGUCCCAAACUCAGCACCACUUCUAGAAAAGCUCACCACUGCGGUGACUGUGGUGAAACUUUUUUUUAUGAAUGCCUAGCUUCAGAGGCACGUGGCUCUUGCCAAGAAGAGACCUAGUUAAUGUAACUUCUGCAAAAAUAUCCACCAAUAAACUGAAAGUCCA